UCUUCGGCAGGCCCGCCCUUCUCCACAGUUUCCCUGCUGCUUCUUUGGUGGCGUUCGUCGGAACUUUUCUGUUGAAGACUUGGAGAUGGAGGACUGGGUUGAGGAGAAGCAGUCGGUCGCUAAGGAAGAAGUGGAGGCUGCGAGCAGCGGGGGCGGCGGGGAAGAAGAGGACGACGAAGAGGAGGCGCUGCCUCACGCCGAAGUGGUGGAUGUGUUUCAGGAGGGGCUAGCCAUGAUCGUUCAGGAUCCGCUACUCUGUGACCUGCCUAUCCAGGUCACCUUGGAGGAGAUAAAUUCUCAGAUAGCUCUGGAAUAUGGCCAAGCAAUGACUGUCAGAGUAUGCAAAGUGGAUGGAGAAGUGAUGCCUGUUGUCGUGGUGCAAAAUGCCACAACCUUGGAUCUGAAGAAAGCUAUUCAGAGAUAUGUACAGCUCAAACAGGAACGAGAAGGAGGCAUUCAGCAUAUCAGCUGGUCAUAUAUAUGGAGAACAUAUCAUCUCACUUUUGCUGGAGAGAAGCUAACUGAAGAUGCAAAGAAACUUCGAGAGUAUGGCAUUCGAAACCGAGACGAGGUCUCCUUUAUCAAGAAGCUGAGAAACAAAUGAAGUAAUGCUUAAGAAGGACCUGUAAACAGGAGCAGCCUUCUGAAGAAAUAAGGAUGCAGGAGGCUACCAGGAAUAGAUCAUCUUCUCAUUCAGGGAUCAAGCAGUUCAGAUCCAGUUUUGCUGCCAUGCUGAGAUCUUUUCAAGCAGCCCUGAGUAUGACUAGGAAGGAGCAGGAUGACAAAUGGGGCCAUUUCCCAGGGAAUAAAAGACUUGGUAUUUGGAUCUUGGGCCUUGGGCGCAACCUUCCUAGCAUCCUCAUGUUCUCACUGUGCUUGCCAUUUAUCCUUCCUCUGUACUUGAUGAUGGAUCUUUAUUUUGUGUAAAAGAAGAGCCUAUUUCUGUUGAUGAGGAAACAUGUGAGUCAUGGUGAGAUGAGGCAGGGCCAGGCCGGACUGCCAAGUGCAGAAGCCUGGGAGGUGGGCAAGAUUGGCCAG